CCUACGGGUGGCAGCAGUAGGGAAUAUUGCUCAAUGGGGGAAACCCUGAAGCAGCAACGCCGCGUGGAGGAUGAAGGUUUUAGGAUUGUAAACUCCUUUUGUUAGAGAAGAUUAUGACGGUAUCUAACGAAUAACCACCGGCGUACACCGUGCCAGAAGCCGCGGUAAUCCGGAGGGUGCAAGCGUUACUCGGAAUAACUGGGCGUAAAGAGUGCGUACGCGGGGUAAUAAGUCAGAUGUGAAAUCCUGUAGCUUAACUACAGAACUGCAUUUGAAACUGUUACUCUGGAGUGUGGGAGAGGUAGGUGGAAUGCUUGGUGUAGGGGUAAAAUGCGUAGAGAUCAAGAGGAAUUCUCAUUGCGAAGGCGACCUACUGGAACAUUACUGACGCUGAUGCACGAAAGCGUGGGGAGCGAACAGGAUUAGAUACCCUUGUAGUC
rnacentral:rRNA from 1 species